CAGCCGCCACGGGAAUACGGAGGGAGCUAGCGUUGUUCGGAAUUACUGGGCGUAAAGCGCGCGUAGGCGGUUACUCAAGUCAGAGGUGAAAGCCCGGGGCUCAACCCCGGAACUGCCUUUGAAACUAGGUGACUAGAAUCUUGGAGAGGUCAGUGGAAUUCCGAGUGUAGAGGUGAAAUUCGUAGAUAUUCGGAAGAACACCAGUGGCGAAGGCGACUGACUGGACAAGUAUUGACGCUGAGGUGCGAAAGCGUGGGGAGCAAACAGGAUUAGAUACCCCAGUAGUCCCUGUCUCUUAUAC
rnacentral:rRNA from 1 species